rnacentral:rRNA from 1 species
AAGUGGAUUAGUGGCGCACGGGUGAGUAAUGCAUAGGUUAUGUGCCCUUUAGUCUGGGAUAGCCACUGGAAACGGUGAUUAAUACUGGAUACUCCCUACGGGGGAAAGUUUUUCGCUAAAGGAUCAGCCUAUGUCCUAUCAGCUUGUUGGUGAGGUAAUGGCUCACCAAGGCUAUGACGGGUAUCCGGCCUGAGAGGGUGAUCGGACACACUGGAACUGAGACACGGUCCAGACUCCUACGGGAGGCAGCAGUAGGGAAUAUUGCUCAAUGGGGGAAACCCUGAAGCAGCAACGCCGCGUGGAGGACGAAGGUUUUAGGAUUGUAAACUCCUUUUGUAAGAGAAGAUU